GCCGCAGCGCCUGGGCAGCCCCAGUGGGACGUGGGGAGCGCGGCGGGGGCGUGCCCUGGCUGGGGACACGCCCCGCCUCUCACCCGCCUGCCUGGCCCCCGCCGCCCAUGCGUGCCCCGCGCACCGCCCGCGCCAGGCGCUGUCCUGCCCUGGGUCUGCGAGCCAGCGCCUGCCAGCCUCCAGCACUGCUCUGGACACAACCUCCAGGAGAUGCUGAGGCACCCAGGGGAGAAAUUAUAGGGCGUUCAUUAAAAUCAGCAUUCAAUGUUGAAUCUGAUUUGUACAGUAGCCCAGUGGCUUUUGACACUGUCACGUGUGUUUGCCUUCCUGACGCUCUAUAAUCCACAAUGGACAUACGCGAGUCCACGGGCACAUGUGUGUUGUCGCGGGCACGCUGGCAGUCUGGAAACCCCAGAAUAGAUUGACACGGAGCCGGCGGCCCUAGCCCUGGACUCAGGGCCGCGGCACCUGCUGAAUUUCAUAACCUGUUUUUCCCCUGAGAACUGCUGCGUGCCGGGUCACUCCAUGGGGCCGUCCUGCCCGGCUGCCCAUCGCUGGAGAGGGCAUGACCAGGUCUUCUUCCACUGCUCCUCCCUCACUUGCAGCCUCCAGCAGUUCAUGACAUCCCCAUUCACGAUUACCUUUCUUUUCUGGCGGUAAAGCCAGGAAUGCAGGGAUGUUCCCUCCAAACACGCUCAGAGGUUACGCCUCAACUUUCAGCCAUUUAAAUUUCUUUACAGGGCCAUGACCGCCGUACCGAAGACCGAUUCCAAGAUGCUCCGACAGAACCGACUUCUACGGCUGAUCUGCAUCCGUGACGAGCGGCGUUUCCUUCCGCGAGCACUCGCUAUUUCUGUUGCCAGAUGCUUCCACUUGAUCAUCACCUUACAGAGUUGUUUUGAUGUACAAUUUGCAAACCCACAGAAACACUAAGUUCAGUGCAACUCAUUGAGAACGUGGCUUGUUGGGGGGGUAUGUUAAUAUUGGCGUGUACGGCCUCCAGCGAUGAAACAAUUAAGCUGCCCUUCAAGUAGGGCAGUAGGGGAUCACAUGUAGCUUCUGUAUUCAGGGUUGCAAAUCCCUGGAGUGUUAUCUGGAAAGGUCCCUGCCAUGAUCCCUAGGAUGAAACCAAAGAGGAAAUAUCUACCUCCAGUUUGCAGUGAAUUCCUAUGUGAAGAAGAGUUUGAGGCAACAUCCUUUGACACAAGGGAUAACCCCCACCCCUAUUUCCAUCAACCCCACUGAGAUGCCAAAACUGGGUUAAAACUUCUUGCAGACAUUCAGCACUUUGCACAUUGGACCCUCUUGGUCCAUUGCAGAUGGCAAAGCAGCGGAGACAUGCUAUGCUACUUUGACUGGGCUCGACUUAAGAGCACUUGAAGCAUUUGGGGAAUCUGACAUUUCUCAGAGUACACUUCCAGACAUCUACAGAGCUUGUUAAGAGUUUACCGAGUCAACUGGUUUAUUUAGUGAUUGUAAAUGUAAAGCAGAAGUUCUUAGUUGCACCACUUUAUGAGGAAUGGGAGGGAAGGAGAUAACAUACCUCCUCAUUCAUCUGACUGCAAUAAUAGGUAUUGCCUAUGCAUUUAUAAGUGUACUACUAUUAACACGAUCUCUCUUUCAGCAAUACUGUAUCUCUCCCCAAUUUGAAGCGGGCAGCGGCUGCUACGAGGCUGGUCACAUCUGUUGCUUCUGCCAAUAGACCCUUUGUCAGCAAGCAGCAAAUCCUCCACAGAAAGAGACUAGUCAGAAACAUAGAUGGAGCACAUCUGGAGUGCAACAAAAUUACCCCAUUCACCUAUGAGUCAGAGGUAUUUUCAACACCGUGAAGAAUGAACCCUAGUGAAAGGGGUUUGAGUGAAGCACUGGUCUUACCAUGCAUAGUUAAGUCCAACUCAGGCUUCCUGCAGAAUAAAAGAAUCUCAGCUAUCUUGGAGAAUGAGACGCUAUGCUAUGAUUCUUUCACUCUCUCAAUUCAUGUGUAGACGAUUCAGCAUCAGCUGCAUCUAGUGGGUUUUUUCUGAUCAAAAUUCCUCACCCAGAACAAGCUGGACUCAUGAAAAAUGUUUACCCCCCCUAAAUCUGCAGAAAAAAAAUUAUUAAUCCUCACUUUUGGGGGGGGGGGGGGAGCGGGGGGUGAUCAGCAAUUUACCCAACUUCAUGGUCAACAAAUCUAGAUUUAGCAUCAAGGUAAAGUACUUUCUGCACACACAUAACAAAUAUUAAAGGCCAUCAUUUAUUAGAAUCACCAACACAGCUGAUCCUAAUUCAGGAAUGUAUUUCAGCAGUGAAACAAGGUCACACUGUCAAAACGCUGAUGGUAAAAAUGCUUUGGAGUCUUCAGGUAUCUUAAUGAGGCUUUGAUUUAAUGUGAUGAGAAACAAACAAAGAAAAAACCCACCUCUUCAAAAUGACAGUCUUUGGUGGAAGCUUAGUUCAUGUUACUGAUUACCACUUUGGAGUGACUGAGUCUAGAGUUUCACAGUUACAUAGAGCUCUGUGUUACCUGCUUGAUUAAUGUAACUGAGGCCAUGCCUCAGGCAGUGUUUUUCAGGCUUGAUUACAUGGGCUUUUUCACAAGCUUAGUGUCUUCCAUGUGGCUCCAUGCAUACUGUAGGUUGCAGAUUGAGUGUGCACUGGCUUCAAGAGAAUAAGACUGUAAACUUAACACUAUUAUCACAUAUGCAAUAGUACUGAGCUGGCAGAAGGGGAGAUCAGACAAAGUUACAAAUCUUGGGAAUACUCCGCUGAACUGCAGAAGGUGCGGGUUAAUACUGCAGCCGCUCAUGCCUUCUGGUACUGAUGAUGUUCACUGCGAAGAUGCAAUGGCCACGAGGCCCACAGAGGCCAGCAGAUUGCCUUGCUUCAAUUCUUGAGUAAAGAUACUGUGAUUGUAAGCAUUUCUGAGGCACGGGCUUUAACGCAACUCCAAUUCAAGUCAGCGGUGAGCUGGCAAGCACAGCCACCGCUUCCAGUUCACAAAAGACACAAGCUUAAGAUUGUCAGAGGAUUGAUUGGCAACUGUCUACUGAACAGCAGGAAACCCUUACCAGAGAUCUUUCUGGCUGUGAAUACCUUCAGGAGGGAUUGAAUCAGGAAAAACCUUAAUGAUUUGUGGCUCCAAACACAUACAAGCAGGCCCUCAGCAAGCAGAGAGAAGGUAGUCAUGCCACAGACCCUUUUCCUUGUAGUCUUGCUGCUGCUGCAGGGAGGUUCAGGGAGCCCUUGAGUUGCAGAGCCUGCUUGGACUCCAAUGGCUCCAUGCGUUGCUUAUUGCUUACAGCCAGCCUGGGGAGUUCACCACACCUGUAUUUUGUUCAGCUGGUCACCUAUGAUGGUGUAGAAGGGCCACUGACUUGAACAGUACUCAAUACAGGUAACAACAGUCUAGUGCCAUGGAUCAGAUCACCAGUAAGGAGGGGGAGCAACACUUAGGCCCAAUGAAAGUGGACUUCAGUUGUUUUUGCAAAUGGGCUUGGAGCCUGCCAACAGAAAUUUAGUUUGGUAUUUUUCAAGCUGACAUUAAGAAAAAAUGACUUAAAUUGUUGCAUCUGGAUGAUGAAGGCUUUGUCUAGUU